rnacentral:rRNA from 1 species
GACGAACGCUGGCGGCGUGCUUAACACAUGCAAGUCGAACGGAAAGGCCCUGCUUUUGUGGGGUGCUCGAGUGGCGAACGGGUGAGUAACACGUGAGUAACCUGCCCUUGACUUUGGGAUAACUUCAGGAAACUGGGGCUAAUACCGGAUAGGAGCUCCUGCUGCAUGGUGGGGGUUGGAAAGUUUCGGCGGGUGGGGAUGGACGCGCGGCUUGUCAGCUUGUUGGUGGGGUGGUGGCUUACCAGGGCUUUGGCGGGUAGCCGGCCUGAGAGGGUGACCGGCCACAUGGGGAAGGAGAUACGGCACAGACCCCCACGGGAGGGAGCAGGGGGGAAUAUUGCACAAGGGGCGGAAGCCUGAUGCAGAAACGCCGCGUGCGGGAUGACGGCUUUCGGGUUGUAAACCGCUUGCGCCUGUGACGAAGCGUGAGUGAGGGUAAUGGGUAAAGAAGCACCGGCUAACUACGU